UACGAAGGGUGCAAACGUUGCUCGGAAUCAUUGGGCGUAAAGCGCACGUAGGCGGCUUUGCAAGUCGGAUGUGAAAUCCCUCGGCUCAACCAAGGAAGUGCAUCCGAAACUGCAGAGCUUGAGUACUUAAGAGGAUCGCGGAAUUCCCGGUGUAGAGGUGAAAUUCGUAGAUAUCGGGAGGAACACCAGUGGCGAAGGUGGCGAUCUGGGAAGAUACUGACGCUGAGGUGCGAAAGCGUGGGGAGCAAACAGG
rnacentral:rRNA from 1 species